rnacentral:rRNA from 1 species
AGAGUUUGAUCCUGGCUCAGGAUGAACGCUAGCGGCAGGCCUAACACAUGCAAGUCGAGGGGCAGCAGACUACUUCGGUGGUGCUGGCGACCGGCGAACGGGUGAGUAACGCGUUUAUAACCUACCCCUAACUGUGGCAUAGCUCCCGGAAACGGGAAUUAAUUCCACAUAAUAUUUAAACAUGGCAUCAUGUUUUCAUUAAAGCUCCGGCGGUUAGGGAUGGGCAUGCGUGACAUUAGCUUGUUGGUAAGGUAACGGCUUACCAAGGCUACGAUGUCUCGGGGGUCUGAGAGGAUGAUCCCCCACACUGGUACUGAGACACGGACCAGACUCCUGCGGGAGGCAGCAGUGAGGAAUAUUGGGCAAUGGACGCAAGUCUGACCCAGCCAUGCCGCGUGCAGGAUGAAUGCCCUAUGGGUUGUAAACUGCUUUUAUACAGGAAGAAACCCUCUGACGUGUCAGAGGUUGACGGUACUGUACGAAUAAGCAUCGGCUAACUCCGUGCCAGCAGCCGCGGUAAUACGGAGGAUGCAAGCGUUAUCCGGAUUUAUUGGGUUUAAAGGGUGCGUAGGCGGGGCAAUUAGUCAGUGGUGAAAUCCUGCGGCUUAACCGUAGAACUGCCAUUGAUACUGUUGCCCUUGAGUAUAGUUGAGGUGGGCGGAAUGUGUAAUGUAGCGGUGAAAUGCAUAGAGAUUACACAGAACACCAAUUGCGAAGGCAGCUCACUAAGCUAUAACUGACGCUGAGGCACGAAAGCGUGGGGAGCGAACAGGAUUAGAUACCCUGGUAGUCCACGCUGUAAACGAUGAUCACUCGUUGUUGGCAAUAUAUCGUCAGCGACUAAGCGAAAGCAUUAAGUGAUCCACCUGGGGAGUACGAUCGCAAGAUUGAAACUCAAAGGAAUUGACGGGGGCCCGCACAAGCGGAGGAACAUGUGGUUUAAUUCGAUGAUACGCGAGGAACCUUACCUGGGCUUAAAUGCAGAACGACGUACCGGGAAACUGGUAUUCCCUUCGGGGCGGACUGCAAGGUGCUGCAUGGCUGUCGUCAGCUCGUGCCGUGAGGUGUCGGGUUAAGUCCCAUAACGAGCGCAACCCCUAUCGUUAGUUGCCAGCGGAUAAUGCCGGGGACUCUAACGAAACUGCCAGUGUAAACUGUGAGGAAGGUGGGGAUGACGUCAAGUCAGCACGGCCCUUAUGUCCAGGGCUACACACGUGUUACAAUGGCCGGAACAGAGGGCAGCUACCUGGUGACAGGAUGCAAAUCUCAAAAUCCGGUCUCAGUUCGGAUCGAAGUCUGCAACUCGACUUCGUGAAGGUGGAUUCGCUAGUAAUCGCGCAUCAGCAACGGCGCGGUGAAUACGUUCCCGGGCCUUGUACACACCGCCCGUCAAGCCAUGGAAGCUGGGGGUACCUGAAGUCUGCAACCGCAAGGAGCAGCCUAGGGUAAAACUAGUGACUGGGGCUAAGUCGUAACAAGGUA